rnacentral:rRNA from 1 species
UAGAGUUUUAUCCUGGCUCAGAGUGAACGCUGGCGGUAGGCCUAACACAUGCAAGUCGAACGGCAGCACAGUAAGAGCUUGCUCUUAUGGGUGGCGAGUGGCGGACGGGUGAGGAAUACAUCGGAAUCUACUUUUUCGUGGGGGAUAACGUAGGGAAACUUACGCUAAUACCGCAUACGACCUACGGGUGAAAGCAGGGGAUCUUCGGACCUUGCGCGAUUGAAUGAGCCGAUGUCGGAUUAGCUAGUUGGCGGGGUAAAGGCCCACCAAGGCGACGAUCCGUAGCUGGUCUGAGAGGAUGAUCAGCCACACUGGAACUGAGACACGGUCCAGACUCCUACGGGAGGCAGCAGUGGGGAAUAUUGGACAAUGGGCGCAAGCCUGAUCCAGCCAUACCGCGUGGGUGAAGAAGGCCUUCGGGUUGUAAAGCCCUUUUGUUGGGAAAGAAAUCCAGCCGGCUAAUACCUGGUUGGGAUGACGGUACCCAAAGAAUAAGCACCGGCUAACUUCGUGCCAGCAGCCGCGGUAAUACGAAGGGUGCAAGCGUUACUCGGAAUUACUGGGCGUAAAGCGUGCGUAGGUGGUUGUUUAAGUCUGUUGUGAAAGCCCUGGGCUCAACCUGGGAACUGCAGUGGAAACUGGACAACUAGAGUGUGGUAGAGGGUAGCGGAAUUCCCGGUGUAGCAGUGAAAUGCGUAGAGAUCGGGAGGAACAUCCAUGGCGAAGGCAGCUACCGGACCAACACGACACGAGGCAGAAAGCUGAGCACCC